rnacentral:rRNA from 1 species
UACGUAGGGGGCGAGCGUUGUCCGGAUUUAUUGGGCGUAAAGAGCGUGUAGGCGGCCAGGUAGGUCUGCUGUGAAAACUCGAGGCUCAACCUCGAGACGUCGGCGGAAACCAUCUGGCUAGAGUCCGGAAGAGGAGAGUGGAAUUCCCGGUGUAGAGGUGAAAUUCGUAGAUAUUGGGAAGAACACCGGUGGCGAAGGCGGCGCU